UGGCGGCAGGCCUAACACAUGCAAGUCGAGCGGUAACAGGAAUUAGCUUGCUAAUUUGCUGACGAGCGGCGGACGGGUGAGUAAUGCCUAGGGAACUGCCCAGUCGAGGGGGAUAACAGUUGGAAACGACUGCUAAUACCGCAUACGCCCUACGGGGGAAAAGAGGGGACCUUCGGGCCUUCUGCGAUUGGAUGUACCUAGGUGGGAUUAGCUAGUUGGUGAGGUAAUGGCUCACCAAGGCGACGAUCCCUAGCUGUUCUGAGAGGAUCAUCAGCCACACUGGGACUGAGACACGGCCCAGACUCCUACGGGAGGCAGCAGUGGGGAAUAUUGCACAAUGGGCGCAAGCCUGAUGCAGCCAUGCCGCGUGUGUGAAGAAGGCCUUCGGGUUGUAAAGCACUUUCAGCGAGGAGGAAAGCUUAAGCGUUAAUAGCGUUUAGGUGUGACGUUACUCGCAGAAGAA
rnacentral:rRNA from 1 species